ACCAGGAUGGCAGAGUGGUUAAGGCAUUGGGCUUAAAAUCCAAUCCAUGCAUAUCCACAUGGGUUCGAACUCCUGGUA
rfam:Xenopus laevis strain J chromosome 2S, whole genome shotgun sequence.